CGUUCUGUAAGCCUGCGAAGGUGUACUGUGAGGUAUGCUGGAGGUAUCAGAAGUGCGAAUGCUGACAUAAGUAACGAUAAAGCGGGUGAAAAGCCCGCUCGCCGGAAGACCAAGGGUUCCUGUCCAACGUUAAUCGGGGCAGGGUGAGUCGACCCCUAAGGCGAGGCCGAAAGGCGUAGUCGAUGGGAAACAGGUUAAUAUUCCUGUACUUGGUGUUACUGCGAAGGGGGGACGGAGAAGGCUAUGUUGGCCGGGCGACGGUUGUCCCGGUUUAAGCGUGUAGGCUGGUUUUCCAGGCAAAUCCGGAAAAUCAAGGCUGAGGCGUGAUGACGAGGCACUACGGUGCUGAAGCAACAAAUGCCCUGCUUCCAGGAAAAGCCUCUAAGCAUCAGGUAACAUCAAAUCGUACCCCAAACCGACACAGGUGGUCAGGUAGAGAAUACCAAGGCGCUUGAGAGAACUCGGGUGAAGGAACUAGGCAAAAUGGUGCCGUAACUUCGGGAGAAGGCACGCUGAUACGUAGGUGAAGUCCCUUGCGGAUGGAGCUGAAAUCAGUCGAAGAUACCAGCUGGCUGCAACUGUUUAUUAAAAACACAGCACUGUGCAAACACGAAAGUGGACGUAUACGGUGUGACGCCUGCCCGGUGCCGGAAGGUUAAUUGAUGGGGUUAGCGGUAACGCGAAGCUCUUGAUCGAAGCCCCGGUAAACGGCGGCCGUAACUAUAACGGUCCUAAGGUAGCGAAAUUCCUUGUCGGGUAAGUUCCGACCUGCACGAAUGGCGUAAUGAUGGCCAGGCUGUCUCCACCCGAGACUCAGUGAAAUUGAACUCGCUGUGAAGAUGCAGUGUACCCGCGGCAAGACGGAAAGACCCCGUGAACCUUUACUAUAGCUUGACACUGAACAUUGAGCCUUGAUGUGUAGGAUAGGUGGGAGGCUUUGAAGUGUGGACGCCAGUCUGCAUGGAGCCGACCUUGAAAUACCACCCUUUAAUGUUUGAUGUUCUAACGUUGGCCCCUAAUCGGGGUUGCGGACAGUGUCUGGUGGGUAGUUUGACUGGGGCGGUCUCCUCCUAAAGAGUAACGGAGGAGCACGAAGGUUGGCUAAUCCUGGUCGGACAUCAGGAGGUUAGUGCAAUGGCAUAAGCCAGCUUGACUGCGAGCGUGACGGCGCGAGCAGGUGCGAAAGCAGGUCAUAGUGAUCCGGUGGUUCUGAAUGGAAGGGCCAUCGCUCAACGGAUAAAAGGUACUCCGGGGAUAACAGGCUGAUACCGCCCAAGAGUUCAUAUCGACGGCGGUGUUUGGCACCUCGAUGUCGGCUCAUCACAUCCUGGGGCUGAAGUAGGUCCCAAGGGUAUGGCUGUUCGCCAUUUAAAGUGGUACGCGAGCUGGGUUUAGAACGUCGUGAGACAGUUCGGUCCCUAUCUGCCGUGGGCGCUGGAGAACUGAGGGGGGCUGCUCCUAGUACGAGAGGACCGGAGUGGACGCAUCACUGGUGUUCGGGUUGUCAUGCCAAUGGCACUGCCCGGUAGCUAAAUGCGGAAGAGAUAAGUGCUGAAAGCAUCUAAGCACGAAACUUGCCCCGAGAUGAGUUCUCCCUGACUCCUUGAGAGUCCUGAAGGAACGUUGAAGACGACGACGUUGAUAGGCCGGGUGUGUAAGCGCAGCGAUGCGUUGAGCUAACCGGUACUAAUGAACCGUGAGGCUUAACCUUACAACGCCGAAG
rnacentral:rRNA from 1 species